UUAUAAAUUCAUUGAUUUACUGAAGAGAAAUAGAAAGGCAUAAUUUUUAGUGGUCGCAGCUGCAGAACGAUGAUGGUCCUUAUUCUAGGAGGUAUACGCCGUCUACGACGACGAUUGCAACGCCAACAAGAAGAAGAAGAAGAGCAGGAGCAGCAGCAACAACAACAACUGCAACGUCAAGGUGACCAAAAUCAUCAGUUCCGCCAUGAACAACACCGCCAAAAUGAAGUUGGAAUCCGACAGAAGAAGCUGCUCCGGUGAUCUCCGCCAGUGGAUUGUUCCUCAUUCUCAUAGGGAUUGUGUACGAGUUUGAGGCUCGGGGUUUGCUUGAAGGAAUCCAACAUGCAAGGUUGUUAGAUGUCACAGUCACAGAUAUUUCGAUCGAUUGUGAAGAGAUAACUACUCUUUUUACUAAAGGACAGGAAUCUUGGUCUUGGGAGUUAUUUAUCUUUCUAUUGGGAUAAUCAGUUAACUAUGGGACAUUUUAAGAAAAUAUGUAUUAAUAAAGUUACAAUAUUUGUUAAGUGUGCUGCAGGGGCACAAUGGGGUUUUCUCCCACCCCAUCGACCCUAUUUAGAGUGGGGCGGUUGGAUGGGAGGUAUACUUGUAAUUGGGUUGGGAGUUGUAUCUUGUACUCCUGUUAUGACUCUAUAUAUUUUUCCUAUUAUAAGUAAAGGGUUUGUGUGAUCAGUUAGA